CAAGGCACCACAAAAAUGUACAUCGAGGAAACCAAUUUUAAAAAUUAAAUAUAUUUAAGUUCAGAUGGCUUCAAAUAUUUAAAACCACAAAAUUGACCUUAAUCUGGACCAGGAUCCCUAAAAUCUUCAGAAAUUCAAACAAGGAUGCCCCAAACGUGAUCAGCUUUACUUUCCUAUAAUGUUGUUCAUAUACCCAAACUCGAAGGAGUUUCACAUUAAGAAGAGCAGCAGACGCGGAAUAAUUUGUUCGAGCCCCUUGAAAUUCAUUUUACAAAUGCAUUUCUUGCAGUUCGAAAAUCUUUCUCUGCCAGGUGUUGAUUUUUGAAAUGUGAAGCUCAUUCGAUUUUGAAUAUAUGAGCAACAUUUCUUGAUAUGUAAGAGCAACGAAGUGCGUCGAAUAAGCUGGGAAUUGUCUGCCAGAAACAAAACUAUAUAAAUCCAGAAAUACGGGUUUAAUGAUCAGGACGUUCAAAUCACAUGGCUGAUAUACAUCCAAACCAUCUAAAAUAUGGCUUGCUUGCCAUGAAACAGUCUUAAAUUGAGAAAUACACAAACUCAAAAUAAUUGACACCUUAAUAUAAGAAGAGAUUUGAAGUGAUUUCAAAUUUUGAUUACACGGUGUGGACGGAACAGAAAUAUCCGAAAACCAGGAAAAAUAUAUCGGCAAAAUUCCAAACGUUCAAUUAUCAAAUUGAAAGUACAAUAUAAGCAUACCAAAUAAAACUCGGCUGUUUGCAGGCAUUCAAUUAAU
ensembl:ncRNA lncRNA:CR43939 long non-coding RNA:CR43939